rnacentral:rRNA from 1 species
AUUGAACGCUGGCGGCAUGCUUUACACAUGCAAGUCGAACGGCAGCGGGGGCUUCGGCCUGCCGGCGAGUGGCGAACGGGUGAGUAAUGCAUCGGAACGUGCCCGCGUCGUGGGGGAUAACUACGCGAAAGCGUGGCUAAUACCGCAUACGCCCUGAGGGGGAAAGCGGGGGAUCUUUCGGGACCUCGCGCGAUUGGAGCGGCCGAUGUCGGAUUAGCUAGUUGGUGGGGUAAAGGCUCACCAAGGCGACGGUCCGUAGCUGGUCUGAGAGGGUGAUCAGCCGCACUGGGACUGGGACACGGCCCAGACUCCUACGGGAGGCAGCAGUGGGGAAUUUUGGACAAUGGGCGCAAGCCUGAUCCAGCCAUGCCGCGUGAGUGAAGAAGGCCUUCGGGUUGUAAAGCUCUUUCGGCCGGGAAGAAAUCGCAUUCUCUAAUAUAGGAUGUGGAUGACGGUACCGGACUAAGAAGCACCGGCUAACUACGUGCCAGCCGCCGCUGUAACAC